CACAAAUGGAAAUGGAUUCGUGUUUGGGGAGAGUCUGGUGUGUGUGUUUGUGGGAUGGGGGGGCUGGGCCGGAGGCCCAAGGAGCGGACCGCAGGCUCUGUCGCCCACCCGGCCCAGCAAGCUAUGUGCCCUCCAGGAGUGGCAGAUGCCCGUGAGCAGACAUGAGCCCAGCCCAGCCUGGACGAGCGCUGUGGGUGAAUAAUGGAUGCCAUCCUAGCGCGGGCAGUGCUGUGCUCACGUGGCCAGCCAGGCCCAGGCCACCUGCACAGUGGCCAGUGAGGGUGGGGCUGAGAGACACCCAGUGAAUGGGCUGUGGCCAGGUCCCUGCAUCACCCGGGCCCAGGGUACAGCUUGCAAGAGCCCUGAGGCCAGGGUCGAGGUUGAGGACAGCAGGGCGGGCUCGCAGCCGAGUGGCCCCUGGGACAGGGGAGGAGGCCACUGUGAGCCGCCAUUGAGACUUUUAUUGGAGUGAAAUGGGGGCUCAGGCGGCUGAUGGAGGAGGCAUGUGACCUACAUAAGGUUUUCAAAAGAUUGUUUGCUGGAUGGGGGCUCUGAUGCCAGGGGAGCUGGGUACGGGUCCCAGCGAGAGGAGACCACCUCGAUCUGAGCAGGUGGUGGCUGGGAGGGCAGGAAGCAUUAGAGCCAGGUGUGGCUGGAAGGCCCAACCACAUGGGUUUGCUGACUGAUCCGCUGUUGGGGCGGAGGCACAUUUAUGAAAAGGGGAAGGACUCGGGUUGAGCCCUCCUGCCCCUCACUGCCAUCCUCCCCAUGCACACCACAGUCUGAACUCCCUCGAGGCAGAGAGCCCUGGCCUCUGCACUUGCACACUGACUCACGCAGAGCCUGGGGCUGCCUGGGCCUGAUGGAGCUGGCAGGCAGGGACUGUCUUUUUCCUGGAGGACUUCCUGGUGGAGGCCUGCUGCAGUUGGAGGCCUGAAGCACAGCGGACAGCCCCAGGCGUGUGUGGCACACCCAACACCCCCAUCCUUCCCAUGAGCCAGGACAUGGCCCGGGGGGCCUCUCUCCGAGGGAAGUGUGCCACCAUCAGGACGUGGGGUUCAGGAAGCAGCCCAGGCUGAAUGGAGGAGAAUGGAGGCAGGAAGGCCAGGAAGAAGUUGAAGCUGCCUUCCCAGCGACAGCUCCAGACCCGGGGUCAACCACUUGUGCCAAGGAGCCUGAGAUCCCAGCCCAUGCCCAGCCAGUCAGAGGUAAGGAAACGGAGGUGGGCAGGAGGCCCGCUGGGGGCCUAGGCUGCCCCUGAACAUGAGGGAAUGAGCAGGUGGCGGGGUCUGGAGGGUCUCCGCCUCAGUUCUGUGGCCCCCAAGGCUCCAAGCUCCCCCCACCUCUGCAUGGUAGAUCUCUGUGAGGGGCAGGGUACAGAUCCCCACUGAGCGGGCACCCUGGGGCUCCCACGUGGAGGAGCACAGGGUCCCACACUGCAGACAGCUGGCCAGGCCGGAGUUCAGCUCCUCCAAGGUCAGGAGUCGGGAAAGUUGAGAGUGCAGAGGGAAGUGACGGUAGAUGGGGUAGACAGG
rnacentral:lncRNA from 10 species